CAGUAGCCGCGGGAAUAUGUAGGUGGCAAGCGUUGUCCGGAAUUAUUGGGCGUAAAGGGCUCGCAGGCGGUUUCUUAAGUCUGAUGUGAAAGCCCCCGGCUCAACCGGGGAUGGUCAUUGGAAACUGGGAAACUUGAGUGCAGAAGAGGAGAGUGGAAUUCCACGUGUAGCGGUGAAAUGCGUAGAGAUGUGGAGGAACACCAGUGGCGAAGGCGACUCUCUGGUCUGUAACUGACGCUGAGGAGCGAAAGCGUGGGGAGCUAACAGGAUUAGAGACCCGUGUAGUCCCUGUCUCUUAUAU
rnacentral:rRNA from 1 species